GCGAAUGCUAGCGGUGCGCCUAACACAUGCAAGUCGAGCGAGAAAUUUUUUAGCUUGCUAAGAAAUGGAAAGCGGCGAACGGGUGAGUAAUAUGUUGAUAUUUGCCCCUAGGUCAGGGAUAGCCCAUUGAAAAGUGGAUUAAUACCGGAUAGUCUCUUCGGAGUAAAAAUUUAUUGCCUAGGGAGGAGUCUUCAUUCUAUCAGCUAGUUGGUAAGGUAAUGGCUUACCAAGGCUAUGACGGAUAAUUGAUCUGAGAGGAUGAUCAGUCACAAUGGAACUGAGACACGGUCCAUACUCCUACGGGAGGCAGCAGUGAGGAAUCUUCCACAAUGGACGAAAGUCUGAUGGAGUGACACCGCGUGAAGGAUGAAGGUUUAACGAUUGUAAACUUCUUUUCUGAAGGAGCAUAAUGAGAGUACUUUAGGAAUAAGGGGCGGCUAAUUACGUGCCAGCAGCCGCGGUAAUACGUAAGCCCCAAGCAUUACCCGAAAUCACUGGGUGUAAAGGGUUCGUAGGCGGACCUAAAAGUUGGAUAUUAAAGACCGAAGCUCAACUUCGUGUUUGUCUUCAAAACUGUUAAACUAGAAUCAGGGAGAGGUAAGCGGAAUUCUGUGUGUAGGGGCGCAAUCCGUAGAUACACAGAGGAACACCAAAAGCGACGGCAGCUUACUGGAACUGAAUUGACGUUCAUGAACGAAAGCGCGUGGGUAGCGAAAAGGAUUAGAUACCCUUGUAGUCCACGCCCUAAACGAUGAUAACUAAGUGUUGGGACUAGCUCCCAGUGCUGUAGCUAACGCGUUAAGUUAUCCACCUGAGGAGUACGGUCGCAAGAUUAAAACUCAAAGGAAUAGACGGGGACCCACACAAGCAGUGGAUCACGUGGUUUAAUUCGACAAUAAACGGGGAACCUUACCCAGACUUGACAUCUACCGAAUCUUUCAGAAAUGAGAGAGUGCUUUUAUUAGAGCGGUAAGACAGGUGCUGCAUGGUUGUCGUCAGCUCGUGCCUUGAGGUGUUCGGUUAAGUCCGUUAACGAGCGCAACCCAUGUCUUUAGUUAUUAUGUCUAAAGAGACUGCCUUGGUUAACAAGGAGGAAGGUGUGGAUGACGUCAAAUCAGCAUGGCUUUUACGUCUGGGGCUACACACAUGAUACAAUGGUCUAUACAAAGAAGCAAUAUAUGGUAACAUGGAGCUAAUCUUAAAAGUAGAUCUCAGUCCGGAUUGAGGUCUGAAACUCGACCUCAUGAAGUUGGAAUUGCUAGUAAUCGUGAAUCAGAUAUGUCACGGUGAAUAUGUUCCUGGGUCUUGUACUCACCGCCC
rnacentral:rRNA from 1 species